AUAAUGUUCCAGAAUAUUCACAGGUGAAUAAAGAUUACUCUGUUGUCCCAUUUGAAUGCAAUGCCACUGCUGGGAGUGCCAGAAAGUUUGAUUACCUGGUCACCUUUGUUGCAAGAAUGGAACUUUGGGUGAUCUUCAUAAUGUUGAUAGAAGCUGGUUCAAUAAAGUAUUUCAAAGCUAGAAUGCUCCUCAGAGCACUGAAACUUUUGGUCAUAGAAGGAGACAUCUGCAAGUAAAUGACUUUAUGGUAAGCAUCAUAUUUUGAAGAGCUCCCUAACUGACCGUGAUAUAAUAAUGACACCUACAAACACUUAGCUUUGGGGAGGCUCUGAUGGAACUCACAGAUCUGUAUGGUCAGAAAAAGGUCUCCUGGUGCCCACGUGAGUGAAAGGGCAGCAUGCAAUAAUGCAUGAUGGUAGAAAGAGCACUGGCCAGGAACCCAAUGACCUGGCCAGCUGCGUGCUUACUGCCUUUGUGAUCUCAGACAUUCUCUGACCCCUUAGAGUUCAGUCUCAUCAGUAAAUGAAGAUGGAUGCUGGCAUCUGCUGUGUACCCUACUGUGCUGUGAACAUUUGAGAAAGCUUCACGAAUCCUUGACUAAACAACCAGUGUCUUACUGUUCUUGUCAAAAGAAACAGAGACCUCAGGCGUUCCUUCUAAAGUUACCUCUCUGCCUUAGAAGGUUGGCGGAGCCCCUCAAACCACAGAGAAGGUGCCAGCAUUCGUGCUGAUCAGGAGAAGACCAAGCUCCCAUGUGAAAGAUGCCCUCCCUAAACCAGGAGGAAAGAAACAUUCUUAUCACCAGAGAUGGAGAACAGAGGCUGAGAGAAAUCUGUACAAACAGAUCUUGUGAAAAUAACCCUUAUCUUCUUUAGUCUCCCUAUCAUUAUGGUUAUUUUUCCACAAUUACAACUUUUGUUCAACCUAGUAUAUAAGUUAGGCAUUUAAGCCUGACCGCUUUUAGGGUCUUCAUUUUCCUGUGAGGGCUCCCAUAUGCAUGUAAAAAUAUCAAAUAAAAUUUGUAUGUUUUUCUCCUGUUAAUCUGUCUUAUAUCAACUUAAUUCUCAGGCAGUGAGAUAAUGGAAAAUAUAUAUUGGUCUCUGGUUCCUGGCACAGAGCACGUAAACCCCUUGUAAUUGCCUAAGUGAUAAGAACACUAGAAGCAUCUCUUGUUCUAACGUUGGUCUUUGACCUCAGUUCCUGACACAGGGCUCCUGAAACCCUUGUAACUUCCUGGGUAAAAGGAGUGUCUUGUUUUAAUGAGGUGACUCUGGACUCCUCAAUGAGAGCUGGUUACCAGAAGGACCAAGUCAUGAUUAGAAGCUUGGAAUUUUCAGCCCCACCUCCCAUUCUCUUGAGAAGGGAGAUGGGGCUGAAAAUGCAGUUGAUGUUCAAUCAUGCCUAUGUGACAAAGCCUCCGUAAAAUCCCAAAAGUAUAGGGUUUGGAGAGCUUCCAGGUUGGUGAACACAUGGAGGUGCUGGGAGAGUCACGUGCCUGGAGAGGGCACGGAAGGUCCACGUCCCUUCCCAUAUACCUUGCCCUACGCAUCUCUCCCCUCUGGAUGUUCAUCUGUAUCCUUUAUCAUAGCCUUGUAUAAUGAACUGGAAAUGUAAGUGAGCUGUUUCCCUGAGUUCUGUGAGCCGCUCUAGCAAAUUAAUCAAACCCAAGGACUGAGUUGUUGGAACUUCCAAUCUAUAGCCGGUUGGUCAGAAGCACAGGUGACAAUCUGGGCUUGUGACUGGCAUCUGAGGGGUGUGUGUGUGUGUGUGUGUGCAGGGGGCAGUCUUGUGGGGACUGAGACUUUACACUGUGAAUCUGACGCUAUCUCUGGCUUGAGUCAGAAUUGAAUCAAAUUGUGGGACGCCCAGCUGGUGUCGCAGAAACUUGCUCAUUGUUGUGAUGACAAACCUCCACACGUUUGGUGAGCAGAAGUGUUCUCUGUGAAGGUAAAGGAGACACACAGGGAAGAAACUUAUAGUAGGGAAGAACUGGAUUUUUCCCUUCAUAGGAAGGAAAAAACUGAGUUUUUCCAUUUAAUCAGGCCCAGCCGGAGACUGUAACAGGGUAGAGGGAAAGUCUUGCCUUCCCCAGAGAAGCUUGUUAACUACUUGGUGUUGGUUGAAAAACAACAUCCUCUCUCCCCCUCACCCACGCUUUCUGCCAGUUCCUGGGAUUGUUGAAAUGGGAAGGAGUUGUAAAGAGGUGAGGGGGUUAUUCAGGGGUUCCUAGAAGGAAUGUUGUGAGUAUGAAUGCCAUUCCAGGGGUCCUUGGCCCUAUCUCUGCUUUGCCUCUGUCUCUCUCGAGAUCGUUUGUUCCUUGUUCUGUUUUUCAGAAGUGAAAGAAAUUAGAUUUCAGAAUCACUUGACAGGAGGAGAGGAGGUGCAAGAAAACAC
rnacentral:lncRNA from 1 species